rnacentral:lncRNA from 1 species
ACUGUUAAAAGCAAGCAAGCUGUAGUGUCUGCUUCCGUUCCUACACCCGUUGGCAUUUUGAGCCCUCGAUGUCACAGGCUGGCUCUGUGCCCUGGCAGCCCGUCACACAGCUUUUUGACCUUGAAUAACUUGAAGUGGCUCCCUGGGUGUGCUUUGUCUCCAUCUUCUCCACAUCCACCUCCUGGUUGAAUGCCUGCUCCUUUCUACUGGUUGUCACCUUGGACUGGAAGUCUGUCCUCUCCUACCACAGUGCAGUUGAGCAAAAGAGGUAACUGAGCCCAGUGUUUGCCAAGUUCCUAUCACGUGGUAACAGGUGGCCCGAAAAACAUUACUUUUAUGAAUGCGUUUGGGAAAACAGUGCCUUAGGUCC